UACGUAGGGGGCAAGCGUUGUCCGGAAUCAUUGGGCGUAAAGAGCUCGUAGGCGGCUUGGCAAGUCGGGUGUGAAAACUUCAGGCUCAACCUGGAGCGGCCACUCGAUACUGCCAUGGCUUGAGUCCGGUAGGGGACCACGGAAUUCCUGGUGUAGCGGUGAAAUGCGUAGAUAUCUGGAGGAACACCGGUGGCGAAGGCGGCAUUCUGGACCGACAUUGACGCUGAGGAGCGAAAGCCAGGGGAGCAAACGGG
rnacentral:rRNA from 1 species